rnacentral:tRNA from 1 species
GCCGCCAUCGUCUAGUGGCCUAGGAUAUCGGGUUUUCAUCCCGAAGAUCGCGGGUUCGACUCCCGCUGGCGGUACCA